rnacentral:lncRNA from 1 species
GCUGCCACUGGACUGCAGGUUUACAUUUCAAAUUCAAGAAGUUCUUCAGUCAAGAGGAAUUUUAGAGCAACCAUAAACCUGGAUCUGUAUAAAGAAAUGACGAGUGCUGCAAGUUAAAUAAAUCAAGGUGAGACUGUGACAGGAAAUUGGUCUGGGAUUUGUCCUCUACUGCCUGG